CGCAUUUUAAAACUAUGGAGUUCAUCCUAUUAAGUGCUAAAGCUAAAGAAAAUUUAUUUUAAGCUUCCUCAAGUCACUCUUCAAAACACAUGUUUCAUGCUUGAUCUAACUCCAAUUUCCCUUCUUCCUGGGAAUCAAGACAUGACUUUGAGGAAAAGAAAACCUAAAAAUGUCUGUGUUCACUGUUUAAUGGCAAUUAACCACUCCAAGGAACCAACAAGAAGAACAUCUUGGGGCAUGAGUCAGCUUCCACAGAAAUCAUUUUCCCCAGCUUCCUCUGAAAGUACAUGAAACAGAAAGUGUCACAGAAAUGUACUUUGGACAAAUGGCAUCUGCAGAUUUAAAGAAGGAAAAAGUGUGGUGGGGAUUUAGCUUAAUCGUGCCGCUGCUGCCUGCCUUGCAAUCACAAGGUCCCGGGUACCAAACAAAAAGAAGAAGAAGGAAAAAGUGAAUAAAGCAGGGAAACAAGAAUCCUCAAUUUCCCUUGUUCUUCU
rnacentral:lncRNA from 1 species